GACGAACGCUGGCGGCGUGCUUAACACAUGCAAGUCGAGCGGUAAGGCCCUUUCGGGGGUACACGAGCGGCGAACGGGUGAGUAACACGUGGGUGACCUGCCCUCAGCUCUGGGAUAAGCCUGGGAAACUGGGUCUAAUACUGGAUAUGACUCCACGGUGCAUGUCGUGGGGUGGAAAGCCUUGUGCGGCUGAGGGUGGGCCCGCGGCCUAUCAGCUUGUUGGUGGGGUGAUGGCCUACCAAGGCGACGACGGGUAGCCGGCCUGAGAGGGCGACCGGCCACACUGGGACUGAGACACGGCCCAGACUCCUACGGGAGGCAGCAGUGGGGAAUCUUGCGCAAUGGGCGAAAGCCUGACGCAGCGACGCCGCGUGAGGGAUGACGGCCU
rnacentral:rRNA from 1 species